CUUUAAAUGAAUGUGGACGCUAAAUUAUUUGCCACUAUAUUAGCGGCCAGAUUACAAAGAAUUCUUCCAUCCAUUAUUCAACCUGAUCAGAUUGGUUUCAUUUCGGGGAGACAAUCCAGUAACAAUUGCCGACGAAUGUUGGAGAUUCUGGAUUGGGCCCCAACAUACCAGAAUGCCCCUUCUGACCCUGUCGAUAGAUGCAGAGAAAGCC